CCUACGGGUGGCAGCAGUGAGGAAUAUUGGUCAAUGGGCGCGAGCCUGAACCAGCCAAGUCGCGUGAGGGAUGAAGGUUCUAUGGAUCGUAAACCUCUUUUAUCAGGGAAUAAAGUGUGGGACGUGUCCUAUUUUGUAUGUACCUUAUGAAUAAGGAUCGGCUAACUCCGUGCCAGCCGCCGCGGUAAUACUGAGGAUCCGAGCGUUAUCCGGAUUUAUUGGGUUUAAAGGGUGCGGAGGGGGCCUUUUAAGUCAGGGGUGAAAGUGUGGGGCUCAACCAUAGAAUUGCCGUUGAAACUGGGGGGCUUGAGUAUGUGUGAGGCAGGCGGAAUGCGUGGUGUAGCGGUGAAAUGCAUAGAUAUCACGCAGAACCCCGAUUGCGAAGGCAGCCUGCCAAGCCAUGACUGACGCUGAUGCACGAAAGCGUGGGGAUCAAACAGGAUUAGAUACCCUGGUAGUC
rnacentral:rRNA from 1 species